rnacentral:misc_RNA from 1 species
AAGUCGUAACAAGGUUUCCGUAGGUGAACCUGCGGAAGGAUCAUUAACACGUAUUUUACGUUCUCACCCGUGAACUGUGUUAGCCAGGAAAGAGACUUUUGAAACGGGGCCUCAGAUCACACGUGUGUGUUCAGUCGCCGCUUUUCCCAAAGUCUCGAUUUGUACAUCUCCUUUUUCAGCGAGUUUCCCAAGGAUUGGGUUUCGGACUGAUUGUUUUUCCUGCACUCGUUAGGCUGAGUAGAUUUGAACUCUGUGAUCGCUGUAGUUUCCUUACUGGGCUUCGGACAUUUGGACAUUUGAACGCAACACAGCCCUUAAGGAGUCAGCUUGAACACGGUGGACAUCCGCUCGGAAUCUCAUAAACACGCGAUUUUUAACUCUUAGCAACGGAUAGCUUGGUUCUG